rnacentral:rRNA from 1 species
GGAUCAUUACAAGAUGCCGAAAGGCUACUUCAAACCAUCGCGAACUCGUCCAAGUUGCUUCGGCGGCGCGGCACCCCUUAACGGGGGCGCCGCAGCCCUGCCUCUCCGGAGGUUCGGGGCGCCCGCCGGAGGUACGAAACUCUGUAUUAUAGUGGCAUCUCUGAGUAUAAAACAAAUAAGUUAAAACUUUCAACAACGGAUCUCUUGGUUCUGGCAUCGAUGAAGAACGCAGCGAAAUGCGAUAAGUAAUGUGAAUUGCAGAAUUCAGUGAAUCAUCGAAUCUUUGAACGCACAUUGCGCCCGGUAGUACUCUACCGGGCAUGCCUGUUCGAGCGUCAUUUCAACCCUCAAGCCCUGCUUGGUGUUGGGGCCCUACGGCUGCCGUAGGCCCUGAAAGGAAGUGGCGGGCUCGCUACAACUCCGAGCGUAGUAAUUCAUUAUCUCGCUAGGGAGGUUGCGGCGUGCUCCUGCCGUUAAAGACCCAUCUUUAACCAAGGUUGACCUCGGAUCAGGUAGGAAUACCCGCUGAACUUAAGCAUAUCAAUAAGCGGAGGAAAAGAAACCAACAGGGAUUGCCCUAGUAACGGCGAGUGAAGCGGCAACAGCUCAAAUUUGAAAUCUGGCUUCGGCCCGAGUUGUAAUUUGUAGAGGAUGCUUUUGGUGAGGUGCCUUCUGAGUUCCCUGGAACGGGACGCCAGAGAGGGUGAGAGCCCCGUAUAGUCGGCCACCGAUCCUUUGUAAAGCUCCUUCGACGAGUCGAGUAGUUUGGGAAUGCUGCUCAAAAUGGGAGGUAUAUCUCUUCUAAAGCUAAAUAUAGGCCAGAGACCGAUAGCGCACAAGUAGAGUGAUCGAAAGAUGAAAAGCACUUUGAAAAGAGGGUUAAAUAGCACGUGAAAUUGUUGAAAGGGAAGCGCUUGUGACCAGACUUGUGCCGGGCUGAUCAUCCAGUGUUCUCACUGGUGCACUCGACCCGGCUCAGGCCAGCGUCGGUUUUCGUGGGGGGAUAAAAGCUUCGGGAACGUGGCACCUUCGGGUGUGUUAUAGCCCGUUGCUUAAUACCUCCGUGGAGACCGAGGU